rnacentral:lncRNA from 1 species
AUUAAUAAAAAUAUUUAAUUCAUUUAUAAAAAUACCAAAAAAUAUUUUUUACAUUCUUUAAUGUUUUAUUUAAUUUAUUUAAUUUUUAUUUUCAUAUUUUAUUUAAUGUUAAUAUUUUAUAUUAAUUAUUUGUUUCAAAUAGUCCAUUUUAACACACAUUUUUUCAUUUAUUUUAUUUUCAUGACUUAGAAUUAUUUUUAAUUUCUGAUUUUUGGGAUGAGAGUUUACCAAUGUCUCAUAGUCAAUCUGACCUUUUAUUGGAAUUUUAUUUCUCAUUUUUCAAUUUAUUUUGGAUUUAUUUCUAACCU